GGCGUCCGUGCACCCCGACGGCAAAUCUAGCUAGCUGCGCGCCCCGAUGGCGGUUCUGGGCUGGCCGAGGUCGAGCGAUCCGGUGGUGGAUCCACAACGGCGUAUAGGUGCUCUACGGUGACGUACUGGUGCUCCACGGCGGUGUCGGUGGCGUCGCAUCAGGCACGGGGCGAUGACAGCAGUGGCAUUGGGUUUGGUGGGCCCGUCGAUGGGCUCAGUGGGCUCAUUGGCGGGUUAUUUCUUUUUUUUAUUUUUUCUGAUUUAUUUACCGAGGCGGGUAGGCAAACGUCUCGGAUAAAGCCUGAUUAACUGCGACCUUUUGUCCGAGGCGGUUGCAAAAAACCGCCUCGCUUAAGCCUUUUUGCCCGUCACGGUUAAAUAUUAUUUCUGUAGUAGUGAUCCACUAUAAACAGUGGUAAAUGUUCUCAUUAGUUAUGAGAAUCUGUGUAUUUUUCUCAUAAUUUGGCUUCAAUCCAUUCACUUCAUAUACAAACCCACUUAAUCUGAAAGCAGUGUCCCAUGCAAGCAUAACCUACCCUCGAUGCAAGGAUGGGUCAAGGAAUUUCAUUACUUAUCAUUGUUAAAUAUUUAUUAUUGAGAAGGUGACACACUAUCGUUUGUCCCUUCCUUUAGAUUUGUUUAUAUCAUAGACGUAGCUAAGCUGGGAUUAGUGAUGAUCAUUAUAUUAGCUACUCCCUUUUCAGAUAUGAUUUUAUACAAGUUUUAUAUGGACAUCUAUGUGGGUUCAAGCAUUCUAGCUGCCAGCCUUAAAGGCAAAUAUAGGGUAGUUAGUUAGUCGAGCGUGCACUUGCCAAAUCAUAUAUUUUUUCCAAGUUGGUAAUAUAAGCAUUCUUCAUCAUGAGAUGCAUCAUUGUGCUUGUACUUGUUGAAGGGUAACUACAAGAGGAAAGGCGGUCAUGAAAGGGAUGGCAAGAGAGGUGUAUCGUCCCCACUCAUGCACUAAACCAAAUCUAUCUCCAAAGCAAUGCCAACACCUCUUGUCUCUAGAGCAUCUCUUCUUGUUUCUUAUCAUCAUCUUUAUAAGAUCAUGCUAACAGAAUACAAAGCAAAACGGGGAACUUGUACUACUAGCUAUAUUAAUACGAACAUCAUGAAAUCAUUUGUUUAGAUGGUUACGCACUUAGGUACAUUACAUUAACGGUGAUGUGAUGUAAUGCAUGAUGAACUGUAUCAUUGUUCAUAAUCUUAACUUCGGUUCAUUUUUGUUUGCAGGUGCUUCAUUAAAAAAACAAAAAAGCCUGCAUUUCUUAAGAUAAGGUGACAUAAAAAGACAAAAUUGUUACAAAAUAAAUGAUCAACUUGAAUACUUUAUAAGGGGAUGAUUGCAUAUGUUCAUGAUCUAUAGCUAGCCUUUUGUGUGUAACUGCCCUUCGUGACCACUUGUUGAUUAUCAACCAAUAGAGUAGU
rnacentral:lncRNA from 1 species